GUCAUCGUGAAGGGCAAUGUGUGACUCCUGUAAAACAGGUCUGCUUUAUGGUCUGUGGCUGAGCAAGCAGGAAAGCAGAUGACAGAGGCAAAAGGAAACAUGAACUCUGGGGACUCCGAGGUCCAGCUUACUACCAGGAUGUGUAGGUUGUAGACGUUGAUGAUAAAAAGGGUCUACCGGAACCUGACAAAUACAGAGGUGGAUGUGCAGGGAUGUGCGAGGAGUCGGGUGAAGCCCUGGCGGAGGUCUUCUGUCUUGUCAGUUCUUCUUGAGAUAGUGGAGGUGGAAGAGCAUUGGUGGAGGAACUCUUCCUGAAUUCCAUCUUAUGCUCUUUGACUGCUGCAUACACCAUUUUGGAAAAUAUGCAGAAGAUUGUCAAUGCAGGAUGACACGAGGGGCUCUAUUAUCAAUCAAGCAUACUACAGUUUGUGCCACAAGAGGAAAGCAAUUACUAAGGUGGAAUUGGGCUGUAAACAGUGUGUAAUCAAAGAUGCUAGAAAGAGUGCAAAUAACUGAGGGAUGAUGAUACAUCACAGCGAAGACAGGAGCUUGGCAGGGAGACACAGCCAGUGCUUCAAUUCAGUGAACAUCCUGGUAUCUCCUCAUCCCAUUGACAUGAGACCCCUUGAGCCCAGCAUCUUACCGACACUGGAUGUUGGUGGCC
rnacentral:sRNA from 1 species